rnacentral:rRNA from 1 species
UGGGGAAUAUUGGACAAUGGGCGCAAGCCUGAUCCAGCCAUGCCGCGUGAGUGAUGAAGGCCUUAGGGUUGUAAAGCUCUUUCACCGGUGAAGAUAAUGACGGUAACCGGAGAAGAAGCCCCGGCUAACUUCGUGCCAGCAGCCGCGGUAAUACGAAGGGGGCUAGCGUUGUUCGGAAUUACUGGGCGUAAAGCGCACGUAGGCGGAUAUUUAAGUCAGGGGUGAAAUCCCAGAGCUCAACUCUGGAACUGCCUUUGAUACUGGGUAUCUUGAGUAUGGAAGAGGUAAGUGGAAUUGCGAGUGUAGAGGUGAAAUUCGUAGAUAUUCGCAGGAACACCAGUGGCGAAGGCGGCUUACUGGUCCAUUACUGACGCUGAGGUGCGAAAGCGUGGGGAGCAAACA